GUGGUUUUAGCUCAGUCGGUUAGAGCGCCUGAUUGUGGUUCAGGAGGUCGCCGGUUCGAGCCCGGUAUUCCACCCCA
rnacentral:tRNA from 1 species